UGGGGAAUAUUGCACAAUGGGCGGAAGCCUGAUGCAGCGACGCCGCGUGAGGGAUGACGGCCUUCGGGUUGUAAACCUCUUUCAGUAGGGACGAAGCGCAAGUGACGGUACCUACAGAAGAAGCACCGGCCAACUACGUGCCAGCAGCCGCGGUAAUACGUAGGGUGCGAGCGUUGUCCGGAUUUACUGGGCGUAAAGAGCUCGUAGGCGGUUUGUCACGUCGUCUGUGAAAACCCGAGGCUUAACCUCGGGCCUGCAGGCGAUACGGGCAGACUUGAGUACUGUAGGGGAGACUGGAAUUCCUGGUGUAGCGGUGGAAUGCGCAGAUAUCAGGAGGAACACCGGUGGCGAAGGCGGGUCUCUGGGCAGUAACUGACGCUGAGGAGCGAAAGCGUGGGUAGCGAACAGGA
rnacentral:rRNA from 1 species